rnacentral:rRNA from 1 species
CCUGGCUCAGGAUGAACGCUAGCUGUAUGCUUAAUACAUGCAUGUCGAACGAGGUGCUUGCACCUAGUGGCGAAUGGGUGAGUAACACGUACUUAAUCUACCUUCUAGAUUGGGAUAACUACUGGAAACAGUGGCUAAUACCGAAUAUGUAUAUUGAUCGCAUGUUUGAUAUAUAAAAGGGGCGUUUGCCCCGCUAGGAAAUGAGAGUGCGGCAUAUUAGGUUGUUGGUGGGGUAAAGGCCUACCAAGUCGAUGAUAUGUAGCCGAGUUGAGAAGCUGAUCGGCCACACUGGGACUGAGAUACGGCCCAGACUCCUACGGGAGGCAGCAGUGGGGAAUAUUGCACAAUGGGCGGAAGCCUGAUGCAGCGACGCCGCGUGAGGGAUGACGGCCUUCGGGUUGUAAACCGCUUUCGCCUGUGACGAAGCGUGAGUGACGGUAAUGGGUAAAGAAGCACCGGCUAACUACGUGCCAGCAGCCGCGGUGAUACGUAGGGUGCGAGCGUUGUCCGGAUUUAUUGGGCGUAAAGGGCUCGUAGGUGGUUGAUCGCGUCGGAAGUGUAAUCUUGGGGCUUAACCCUGAGCGUGCUUUCGAUACGGGUUGACUUGAGGAAGGUAGGGGAGAAUGGAAUUCCUGGUGGAGCGGUGGAAUGCGCAGAUAUCAGGAGGAACACCAGUGGCGAAGGCGGUUCUCUGGACCUUUCCUGACGCUGAGGAGCGAAAGCGUGGGGAGCGAACAGGCUUAGAUACCCUGGUAGUCCACGCUGUAAACGGUGGGUACUAGGUGUGGGGUCCAUUCCACGGGUUCCGUGCCGUAGCUAACGCUUUAAGUACCCCGCCUGGGGAGUACGGCCGCAAGGCUAAAACUCAAAGGAAUUGACGGGGCCCCGCACAAGCGGCGGAGCAUGCGGAUUAAUUCGAUGCAACGCGAAGAACCUUACCUGGCCUUGACAUCCAGAGAACUUAGCA